rnacentral:rRNA from 1 species
UGGUGGAGUGAUUUGUCUGGUUAAUUCCGAUAACGAACGAGACCUUAACCUGCUAACUAGUCACGCGAAUUUUUAUUCGCGGCUGACUUCUUAGAGGGACUAUUGACGUUUAGUCGAUGGAAGUUUGAGGCAAUAACA